CACCGGUCUUCCCACACUGGUCUUCCCGUCAACCCCGUCAGGCCCGGAAGGGAGCAGCGGCAGCGAGAUGAACAGGUGCUGGGGUCGGGCUGGUGGGG
rnacentral:SRP_RNA from 1 species